CAGUCGCCACGGUAAUACGUAGGGUGCAAGCGUUAAUCGGAAUUACUGGGCGUAAAGCGUGCGCAGGCGGUUCUAUAAGACAGAUGUGAAAUCCCCGGGCUCAACCUGGGAACUGCAUUUGUGACUGUAGAGCUGGAGUGCGGCAGAGGGGGAUGGAAUUCCGCGUGUAGCAGUGAAAUGCGUAGACAUGCGGAGGAACACCGAUGGCGAAGGCAAUCCCCUGGGCCUGCACUGACGCUCAUGCACGAAAGCGUGGGGAGCAAACAGGAUUAGAUACCCCUGUAGUCCCUGUCUCUUAUAC
rnacentral:rRNA from 1 species